UAUAUAUAUAUAUAUAUAUAUAUAUAUAUAUAUAUAUAUAUAUAUAUAUAUACUAUUGCAUGGAAAGUGAUUUUAUGCCCGAAUGACCUUUGGGCCCUGGCCGAAACUGAAUUUUGCGAUUCGUCUGUCCAGUUCCUGAGUACACGUACAGAAAACAAACCUAUCAGAUGUAGAACUAUCAUCGUCGUUAUCUGCACUGUAUGCUGUAUGAAAUGCAGCGUAUCGUAAUGGGGGUAGAUUUGAAUGCUUUGAACUAAAACCUGUAGCCAGGACAGGCUAGAAACUGCAGUAAAUGCAGCUUGGUUGAAAUGUGAAUGACAUAGAUAUACCAUGGCUAUGGAUUAAAUUUGAAUGCCUUCAGCUACCAUUUGUAUAAAACGAAACGACCUUCCCGACUGGAAAAUGGAGGCUGAGUGAAAUGUGAAUACCAUCAAAACGAAAAACAGAACAUGCAAAUGGCAUGCUAUGUAAGAUACAGCGUAUGGUCAUUAGUAAAUUGAACUCUUGUAAUGUAUAGGUUAAUCGGAAUACCGUCAUCAGGAAGGGGGAAAUGCACAAGGAAACAUGGAUCCCAAAGUUAGUAGGUAGAAAAUGAAAGUAGAAUUUUCAUCCAAGAAUGGGAAAAAUAAGCAAUGACUAAAAGUUCGACAGCGAACCAUCAAAACGAACCUAUGGGGAGACCUAGGGAAAGUGGAUAUGCCUAAAAUAUAUCAAGUCCAGAAAACGAGAACUGAAGCAAAGAUCGGAACGUAGUCGUUAUAUGGAAAGAGGAGAAGUCGCAACAGAAAGCCAGUCUGGAUCUUUAGAAUGUCGUUCAUAAGGCUCCGUUUGAGAGCGAGACGAAUGCAGAGCGGAACAAAUGUUCAUAGUUUUGUCUCUACUCUCUUUCUGUAUUUACGUGAAACUGGGUUGAACAUUUCUUAGACCGAUCAUCACGCUAGCUGGGCCAACCGACUAUCUACGAUAUAGGUAGUGACGAAUUCGCAGGAAGAUGAAUGCAAACAUUAAAAUUUGAGACAGCACUGGUAAUACAUGGGCUGCAUUUUGGGAAAACCCGACAGCAUCGAAAUUCAAAUGUUUUCGAUCUGAUCUUACCUAGUACAUGCUGCAUGUAGAAUUGUUGUUCCGCUCUCAUUUGGGAAAGUGGAAAAAGAAAAUAAAUUAAAGUGUUUUUCAAGAGCCCGGAAUUACAGCAGAGGUUGCAAAAACUAGAUUGAAGAAAUUGACGUCCAUAUUGUUACUGUAACUGAUGACACAACGACAUGCUUCCUAAAAAUAGCCUGAUAUAACUUAAUUAAGGAUUUUUAACAAUUAUAUAGGAUAAUAUAUCUUAUUUGGUUUUUAACUAGUGUAUAGGUUAAAAAUUUAUUUAUUUUACAGUAGUCUGUAUAACAACAUUUGAGGUUUUCCUGCCGUGAUCAGGAAAUCAACAUAUUGGUUUGUUCAUACGGACAAACUAGUAUUUUAGAAUUUGCCAUUAACAUGGUCUAUUGUGGUUUUUGAAGUUAGAACUUGAUCCACAGAUCUAGCUUACUAUGAAACUUGCAGAAUUAAUGUGGAUAAAAUUCUUUGUAAAUAGUUAAAGACUGAAAAAACAAUUGCUAUAUUUUCUACUACAUUAUUGGGUUAUUUUCUGAUCUUACAGUGAUAAAAUUGGAGUAAGGGUAAAACGCGGAUGAGGGUGGGACAAUGCGGAUGAGAGGAUAAAAUGCGGAUGAGAAUAUGAGUUUUCCAGCUUAGACCUAUAGACUUUUAUUCUUGAUUUGGCAGUUCUGGUCAAUUUUGGGCUAACAUUUGGUUAAGUAUGACGUCACAUACUGGGCCCCAGACUGUCACAUACUGUGAAAAAGCACUGAAACUAAUUAAAAAUAGAAGGCUUAGUUUUCGUUUCCGGCCAUUCGUUAAUUUUCAGGUUGCGCAAUCAAUCUCCAAGAUUUCAAAUUUUAAAAUCUCUAGCAUUUUAGUAGGUGUGUGCUAACCAUGGGCGUACCGGAAGGAAAAAAUUAGGGGGGCGGAAAGAAAAUUGCCCGACUUUUCGUAAAAUUGCCCGACUUUUCGUGAUUGUGCCCGACUAGUACCAAAAAAUUUUCCCGGAAAAAUUAUUUUGGCGACCUCCCCCCCCGUCGCCAAAAAAAUUUCGGUCAGUGUACCAUUUAAGGGGUCAAAAAAAUUUUCCGGACAUACCAAAAUUUUUCGGAGCAUCACAUAAAUUUGCAAAAAAAACACUACAUUGGGCCACAAAUUGACUAAAUUUUCGAAAAAAUUGACAGAAUUUGUCCGAUUUAUUUUUAUAACAAACCAAAAUUGCCCGACUGUUAAUCGAAUAUUGCCCGACUGCCCAAAAAACUGGGGGGGCUACCGCCCCCCCCCGCCCGGUACGCCUAUGAUUCUA